AGUAUUAUGUUUUGUCGUCUGGCAUGCGCAUGAAGUUAUGGGGAUUUUAAACCAUGGCUGUCAAGUCUCGUUCAAGAGAUUUUGAAGAAAUUAUCAAAUUUGACUUUAGUAUUCUCUUAGUGAUGCUAUGGACAAGUUGACUCGUAUUUAUGAAAUAAAUCGAAAUUUAAAAGAAUAAACGAACACAUGGAGAUAGGAAUACCGAUGUGUAAAGACUUUAACGAAAUUGGAAUAUCCAGAUUUGUACUACAUGUAAUAGGAGGAUCCUUGAUUGUACUCAAUUUCUAGUAGGAUUCAGGAUAAUACUAAACACAAUAGAACCAUUAACCAGAUUGUAAGAUCUAUACGUUUUUCCCGACAGAAGAUAGAAGAGUUAUGCUGAAAUAUUUGCAUUCUAAUUUCUGAAUGACUUAAGUCAAUUAUUGACGAUGCCAUGUUGUAGAGAUUCCUCAAACAACUUUAAGCAUUCAAUAAAGCACUAAUGAAGCAUUGUUUUUAUAAAUAGAAGCAGUACUGUUGUUGAUGUAUACAACUCAGUGGUAGAAGUUCGUAUCAAACAUCAAAACUAAAUAUAGUAAGAGAAGUUAAAUAUUUAACUAAUGUUUUCUUAAUAAAACAAUAAUAAAGUUU